GUGGGUAUAGCUCAGUGGUAGAGCACAUGCUUAGCAUGCACAAAGUCCUGGGUUCAAUUCCCCAGUACCUCCA
rnacentral:tRNA from 1 species